rnacentral:rRNA from 1 species
GACGAACGCUGGCGGCGUGCUUAACACAUGCAAGUCGAACGGAAAGGCCCUGCUUUUGUGGGGUGCUCGAGUGGCGAACGGGUGAGUAACACGUGAGUAACCUGCCCUUGACUUUGGGAUAACUUCAGGAAACUGGGGCUAAUACCGGAUAGGAGCUCCUGCUGCAUGGUGGGGGUUGGAACGUUUCGGCGGUUGGGGAUGGACUCGCGGCUUAUCAGCUUGUUGGUGGGGUAGUGGCUUACCAAGGCUUUGACGGGUAGCCGGCCUGAGAGGGUGACCGGCCACAUGGGGACUGAGAGACGGCCCAGACUGCUACGGUAGGCAGCAGUGGGGAAUAUUACACAAUGGGCGGAAGCCUGAUGCAGCAACGCCGCGUGCGGGAUGACGGCCUUCGGGUUGUAAACCGCUUUCGCCUGUGACGAAGCGUGAGUGACGGUAAUGGGUAAAGAAGCACCGGCUAACUACGUG